rnacentral:rRNA from 1 species
CGGAGGGUGCAAGCGUUAUCCGGAUUUAUUGGGUUUAAAGGGUCCGUAGGCGGACCCGUAAGUCAGUGGUGAAAUCUCAUAGCUUAACUAUGAAACUGCCAUUGAUACUGCGGGUCUUGAGUAAAUUUGAAGUGGCUGGAAUAAGUAGUGUAGCGGUGAAAUGCAUAGAUAUUACUUAGAACACCAAUUGCGAAGGCAGGUCACUAAGAUUUAACUGACGCUGAUGGACGAAAGCGUGGUAGCGAACAGGAUU